rnacentral:tRNA from 1 species
AGGGUUAUAGCUCAGGGGUAGAGUAUUUGACUGCAGCUCAAGAGGUCCUUAGUUCAAAUCUGGAUGCCCCCU